UUGUUGGUUAUACACUUACUUGUGCAUGUUUGUGGUUUUAUAGGUUUGUGCUGAGUUUCACCAUAUCAGAGAAAGUGGCACACACCAGCAAGAUUUCACAGAUGUUGCAUGACAUUCGAAAUGUUUGAUCUUCAGUGUACGUGUGUGAGGAGAACUGUUCUUCAGGACAUGAAAUGAGGAAUUGGGCAAGCCAGACAUCACUGACACAAACACCUCUCCUGCUGAUUUUGUUAUCAUGGACAACGAAACCACUACAAGUCCUGCAAGCACUGCAGUUGUGAUGAGAUGAUCUUCCAGUGUUUGACAUUCAGAAAUACACCGUUCAUGCAGUUUAAAAAAGGCUGAAUAAAAAAUCCUCAAUUG